AGCAGCCGCGGUAAUUCCAGCUCCAAUAGCGUAUAUUAAAGUUGUUGCAGUUAAAAAGCUCGUAGUUGAAUUUCGAGAUCAAAUUGUUGGUCGUGCCUUGGUACGCACUGGCAUUAUUGGUUUCUCCCUUCUGAAGAACCAUGAUGUCAUUAAUUUGGUGUCUUGGGGAAUCAGGACUGUUACUUUGAAAAAAUUAGAGUGUUUAAAGCAGGCUCGCGCUUGAAUACAUUAGCAUGGAAUAAUGAAAUAGGACGUUUGAUUCUAUUUUGUUGGUUUCUAGGAUUGACGUAAUGAUUAAUAGGGAUAGUUGGGGGCAUUAGUAUUCAAUUGUCAGAGGUGAAAUUCUUGGAUUUAUGAAGACUAACUACUGCGAAAGCAAUUUGCCAAGGAUGUUUUCAUUAAUACAAGAACGAAGUUAGGGAUCGAAGACGAUCAGAUACCGUCGUAGUCUUAACCAUAAACUAUGCCGACUAGGGAUCGGAUGAUGUUAAUUUUAUAAUGACUC
rnacentral:rRNA from 1 species